rnacentral:lncRNA from 1 species
CCGAAACUAUACCCAGCAGCAAGCUAGAGAAUCUAGACACUAAGAGGGAGAUGUGACUGGGGAAAUCUCUUUCAAAAUAUCUUGCAUGCACCUGUGCCUCAGUUACUUAAUUUGCCUUCAAAGGGUACUUGUACAUCUUCUAACUCUUGUCAGAACUUCAUUUACACCUGCAGAAGAUCAGACCCACGCAGAUUAAACGUUUUGUGCUGGCAUUUGAAACAGGGUGGAUUUCAGUCACUGAUUUAAGUAAACAGGAGUAAAGAUGCAAAGUGCAAAAUGUUACUGACUCACAGGAGUGAGUGGUCAUGGGGGCUGAGGAUGAAAAUGAGCAUGAGUGAGCAAACCAAACUGACUGUGUAGUUCCCCAGACUGCUCUACUUCCCAAGAACAGGCCCUAAAGCUACUGUAUGGUCCACAGUGACCCCAAGAUAGGGCCACAAGGUACAGCAAAUGGCUGCUCUGCCCACAAGGACUUCUGGGUGGGGGUGGUAGGAUUCCCACAUAAUUGUUGCAUUCAUUAAUCAAAAUAAGAAUGACAAACAACCUAUAGAUUUUUCGGGAGGUGGGGGAUGGGACAAAUGAAGGGAAUGAAAUUGUCUUUCUCACUGCUCCUUCUGAGAAUUGCCAGAGGGAGUCUUUGGGGGCUGCAAGGCACAACAGCAAGGACCCAGAACAAGCAAGACCAAGAACCCUCCUGCUGCUGCGACUGAUGAGGAAAUGUUCUAGCACCUUCCAGCCUCCCUCUCCAGGACUUGUGGUGCCAAUAACAAGCCCUUCACUAGCUCCACAUAGGCAAGGCUGAACUGCCUGCCAUGCCCCAGCUGAACCAGCCCUGUGCAAGUGCUUUCAGGUGCACUGCUCGCAUGUGGGCACACCUGUGCAUGGGGGACACUAACAUGGGGCGUACUUGUGCAUGAGGCCCACACACACGUAGGCUACACUUGCGUGUGGGGUGCACCACUUGUACACAGUGCAGUGUUUGCAUGUGGGCUGGCUGGCAUGCAGGGCACACUGCUGGUACACUGCUGGCUGUGCCCCCUCACAGCACUGUGAGAGCUCAGAGUUGCUAAGCAACA